rnacentral:rRNA from 1 species
UACGUAGGGUGCGAGCGUUGUCCGGAAUUAUUGGGCGUAAAGAGCUCGUAGGCGGUGUGUCGCGUCGGCCGUGAAAACCUGCAGCUUAACUGUGGGCUUGCGGUCGAUACGGGCAUCACUGGAGUUCGGCAGGGGAGACUGGAAUUCCUGGUGUAGCGGUGAAAUGCGCAGAUAUCGGGAGGAACACCGGUGGCGAAGGCGGGUCUCUGGGCCGAUACUGACGCUGAGGAGCGAAAGCGUGGGGAGCGAACAGG